UACGGGAGGCAGCAGCGGGGAAUAUUGCACAAUGGGCGAAAGCCUGAUGCAGCAACGCCGCGUGAACGAUGAAGGUCUUCGGAUCGUAAAGUUCUGUUGCAGGGGAAGAUAAUGACGGUACCCUGUGAGGAAGCCCCGGCUAACUACGUGCCAGCAGCCGCGGUAAU
rnacentral:rRNA from 1 species